ACGGUAGUUGUCGGAGAUCCUCGCCGUUGAAAUAGGUACCUGUCCAAGGAAACAGAACACACACACAAAAAGCAGGGGAAUAGAAGGAAAAGAGUCGGAGUUGCUGGUAAAAUUUCCGGCGAAAAGCAAGGUGGCUAAAUGAACAAUAAAGGAUGAAAGUGACCAGUGAAAAAUUCCGAGAGUACCAAGUGGGUCGGAAAUAUGGGGGGAGAAAACUGUCCAAAAGAAGCCGGUGGAAAAAGUGCCGGGAAGUGGGCACACGCGCGCGGCGCGUGGAGGACAGGGGCGGCGCGUGGGCGGCGCGUGGGCGGCGCAUGCGGCUGUUUCCGGCAA
rnacentral:lncRNA from 1 species